rnacentral:rRNA from 1 species
UCAACGGAGAGUUUGAUCCUGGCUCAGGACGAACGCUGGCGGCGUGCUUAACACAUGCAAGUCGAGCGGUAAGGCUCCUUCGGGAGUACACGAGCGGCGAACGGGUGAGUAACACGUGAGCAAUCUGCCCUUCACUUUGGGAUAACCACCGGAAACGGUGGCUAAUACCGAAUACGACCACUUCAGGCAUCUGAUGGUGGUGGAAAGUUCCGGCGGUGAAGGAUGAGCUCGCGGCCUAUCAGCUUGUUGGUGGGGUAAUGGCCCACCAAGGCAACGACGGGUAGCCGGCCUGAGAGGGUGACCGGCCACACUGGGACUGAGACACGGCCCAGACUCCUACGGGAGGCAGCAGUGGGGAAUAUUGGACAAUGGGCGAAAGCCUGAUCCAGCAACGCCGCGUGAGGGAUGACGGCCU